GGUGAGAUCAGUAUGGUUGGGUAGAUAAUGUGUAGUGGCAUUUGGUGAGGUCUAGCAAGAGGGUAACCCUCCUUGGAAUGGGAUGCCUGACAUCUUAGCAUAUUGAUGUCAAGAGUUGGUUUUGAUGCCUUUCAACUUGACUUUUGAAGCUGUACUACUAACUGUUCUUUGCCUGGUGCUGACCUGGUGGACAACUCCGCUUCAUUCUGGAGACCCAGUGUGGGUCACAGUGGUUGUGCUGAUCCUGGGGCUGAUCCUUGGAAUUUCUGGGGUCAUCUGGAGACAACCACAGAACCGCACUCCCCUUCAUU
rnacentral:lncRNA from 1 species